UUAGCCAAAAGGCCGAGAA
rnacentral:ncRNA from 2 species